AUCAGCAUUUUUAAGUCUACGGUAAUGCGAAUUUUAAACAAUUAUAGCAGCCUUUCGGAGUCGGAUUUAAUGAGCUUAUUAUUUAUGGAACCAGUAUUUUUGAUGACUUUGAAUUGGAUCACACCAAUUUUUUGUUAUUAUAAAUAUAGUGAUAAGGAAAUUGUAUACAAAUAGGUAUUGUAUGUAUGGUAUAUGCGUGUAAAGCAUCCAAAUUGCACAUAAAAGACUAAAUUUGCAAACGCUUCUUUUUGAUUAUAAAAUGUCGAACGACUUCGAACAAACUUUAGUAAAGAUUUGGAAAUCUAUUGGCAAAGUUGAGGCACAAUUUUUCUCUCAACAAAUAACAAAGUCAAAAAAAUUCUAUAAAAAUGAAAUUCUUGUGCUAUUUCUUGAUUAUCGUGUACAUUAGCAUAGUAACCACAGAUCAUCAACGUAUAGAUGUUCCAGACCCCAAUUAUCGUUCCUUUAUUACAAAAACAAUACCAAUCUGCCUUACAAAUCAUCGCGGAGAGUGCGUUGAAUAUUAUCACCGUGCAAGGAAUAAUCGAAGAACCACACUCAACCAAUUAAAACACACAUAGGAUUAUGUCGCAAUAUUAAGUGUUAUAUCAUUUGUGUAACAAAAUUAUAAAAAAGAAAAAAUAAAAAUAAAAAUAAUUUGGCGUUUUUAAACUCAAGUGAAUUCCUUUGUUAAAAUUCCUGAAACUUUUUUAAAGACACCUCACAGAGAUAUUUUGUUAUUUUCAUUAAAUGGGCUUAUUAAAAUUAAGGAAACAAUGAGGUGAUAGCUUUCUUGUUUUUUUUUUUUUCAACAAUAUACAACGGUGAAACAUAUUUGUAUUUGAAAGCUUUGGUGCAGUUGAGUCAAAGUUUGUGUGUGUCUCUCGAAAAACCAAAAGCAAAAAAAUAUUUUCCAUACCAGAAUUUUAUUUCUAUCGUUCAGUUUGUAUGGCAGAAAUAUGCUAUAAUGAUCCGAUUGGAAAUUUUUUUGGGUUUUGUAAUAAUGCAUUGAAUAAUAAUUCAUUUAGUUAAAAUAGUUUUUCAAACAAAACUUAAUUUCGAUCGUUCGAGUUGUGAAGGAAGUGUGCAACAAAUCGAAAGAAGAGUCAUGGUUACAUCAACUCAGCUGGUCACGCUGAUCACUUAUAUAACAUAUCUAUUUCAUAUGGUAUCCUACCUUUCCCUCCGAGUGUUUCAAACUUGAGGGCAAACAUAGUACAACCUGUUCAUGGAAUACAAAGUAGAUUCGUGUCAGCUUGGGAGGAGGUUAUUUUGACAACUUGUCGCGGCCAUGUUUGUUUACGGAUUUGUGUCAAAUAUUGUCAGUGGGUUCAGUAAGGUUUUCAGUUUCGUCAUGUCACGUUUCAUUUUGGUACAUUGUUUGAACAUUUUCGAAGAUUACUACACAAGCUCACGUCCUUAGGUGCCUUUGAUUUAUUAUUAUCAUUUAAAAAUCAUCUUCUCACAUGAGGCUCAUUUCUGGCAUAAUAGCUCCGUCAACAAACAAAAUAGUCGCAUUGAGGUGAGUCAUAUCCUUCUGUUGUCCAAGAAAUGCAACUGCAUUCCCAAAAAUCUAACUUUUUUUGCGAAAUGUGGUAUGGCCGAAUUAUAGGGCCUUAUUUUGGUUGAAAUGUGGCGGAAAUGUCUCUAUCGUCAAAAACCAACAUUAUAACACGAUGUUGAGCGAUUUUUUCCCCAGAUUUGGCGGCUGGUUAAUGUCGAGAAAUAGUUCAGUCAAAAUCUUGCGAUUUAACGCCUCUAUAUAAAUUUCUCUGGGCGUAUGUUAAAUCUAAGGUUUACGCCAAACAAUCAGCAACGGUCGAGGAGCUCGCAAGCAACGCUGCACCGGGCCAUCGAAAAUUUACGUAAACGGGUGCAGAUAUGCAAACGUAACAUUGGUGGCAUUUGACCGAUAUUUUGUAAAAAUCGUAAAUGUUAUGAAUUUAUAUGCAAUUAAAAAGAAGAACCUAUUUUCACCGAAUUUAAGUGUUUUAUUUCAGUUUAACAUGACGUCGUUCUUGUUGAUAGACCUUUUACAUGAGAUCAGAUAUGAAUAACAUAUAUAACUGCCACAAAAAAAUAGAUGUGUUUCAAAAAAAUAAUAAUUAAUGAGAGUACACCAACGUAAACAAAAAUAAUCACAAAGAUCGUGUGUGCCAGUGUUAUCUCUGUAAUGUAGAACCUCAAGUGAAGCAAAUUUAGUUCAGACUUGAAGGCCUCUGUGCACAGUUAAAAUUUAUUUUUCGCCGCUCAUUUGGAAAAAAAACAACAGACAUGAAGCUUAUAUACGUAUUAAUCUUAUAGAUUUAUCUCAUAAUGGCAGCAGAAGGAAAGGUUCUAAAUGCUCAUAACACUACCUUGAGAAAUUAUGCUGUUUUUGUAUCCACACCAAAAUGUAAAAGUUAUGAUCAUCGUGGACAAUGUAUUGGUGGAAGCUCGAAAUAAAAGGAUGUUUAAAAAUGUAUAGGAAAAUUAAAAUUAACACACAUCUUUAUAAUCAAUAAUCACUUCGUUGGAAUUUAGAACUACGAACAAAAAUUAUAUAUGUACAUAAAUAUAAAAUUACAAUAGUUAUUAGACGUUUUCAAAUAAGGAAAAAAUAAAUGUAGUCCUUAAUAAAAUUGAGUGAUGCUAUAGUUAUAUUAUUUAGAUCUUUAUUCAAACAAUACAUUCUAAACUUAUCCUUUAAUUAUAAAAUAAUAUCGUAGUCUACACGAAAUUUUCAUGGGCAAAACUGGAGGCGUUCUACAUGAUGCUGGACGAAAAAUUGUCGAUAUUUCAAAACAAAGGAUUACCUAUAUAUUUAUGAAAUUACUGAAAAAGGAAUGCAAGAGGUGAGCAUGGUUAUUAUGGAUAUUCUAGCUCGACAUCGUCUAAUGGCCAUAAGUGACAAAUAUUCUCCUUUAACUCAGAGAUACUUUAAGUUUGGAAGAAGAUUUCUAAUAAGAGAUUCCACGAUGAUUAGCAAUUUAAAUACAUACGACACAGAAAUUCUCAUAAGAAGAUUAUGCUAGUUAAAGCGAUAUUUUCUAGGAACGAAAACUUGAAACUGCUCUCAGCUUCCGGUCAACAUUUUUUAAUUAAAGAUGACGCACUUUCUCAACAAAUUCUUUAUACCUACUCAAAGACGAAUUUAAUCUUGCUUAUUAUGUACAUACAUAUAUAUAAUAGUAUAUGAAUUUAUCUUCGAAUUUCGAAGUUGAGUCUAUUGAAAGCAUAAUUACGCAGGAGUUCCAUUUAAUACAUUAUGGAUGUUUAAGCAAAUAUAUAUGGGAAAUUACGAUUUCAAAUCGAAAAUAUUUAUAAUAUAAUAAUAUUAUAGCAUUUUCAUCACUUUUGAUUUACUCGCCGCGGGAAUUAAGAACCUCUACAGAAAACUGGUUUGUAUUAUGUAAUGACAAGAAAGCUGUGAAUGAUGUAUGUAUGUAUAUAAAGACUUUUUGAAAUAUAUUAAUUAUUAUAAAAGUAAAAUAAAUAGGUAAAAAUAUAAAAAGUAAACAAGUAAAAAUUAGUGUAGGAAUUUAUGUAUUCCAAAGAUAGCCGAAAAUAUUCAUGGUAUAGGGAAAGGGGAAUCAUUUCACUCCAAAUGUAACGCGUGUGGGUCGCGGGCAGUAAUGAAAAAAUCAAAAUCACUGGAUCGAUUUUAAUAACUUUUUCGGUGAGUGACAUAGGCAAUAUAUUUUAUACCGGCCGAGGCCGGACGAGUAGCGGGCCGCAAGUUUUUACGAGGGCUGUCCGAUAAAUAACCGACCUCAACGUGAAACUAGCGGCACAUCUGAAAAAAAAAAGUUUCUACUUCAAAUUGCGCAUAUUAUAAUAGCUACUCGCCAAAAUUUCAGAAAUUUAUCUUGCGCAAUUAUCUGUUGACAGUCGUUUUUGUGAGUCUAUUUCGGUGAUUUCCCCAAAAUGGAAAAAAUUGAAUAUCGAGCUGUAAUUAAAUUUUUGUUUUUGAAUGGCAAUACGCCUUCACAAAUCAAAGAUGAGUUGGACUCUGUGUAUGGUGACUCGCAACAUCGUUUACCACCGUAAAAUUUUGGACAGCUGAAUUUAAACGUGGUCGCAGGAGCUUAGAAGAUGAUGAACGUCCUGGGCGUCCAAAAACUGUAACCACUAACGAUAACAUCGCCAAAGUUCAUCAAUUUGUACUAGACGACCGCCGAAUUAAAGUUAGGGAAAUAGCUGAGAUUAUGAAGAUGUCAAAAGAAACUGUUUGUCACAUAUUAAAUCAAGAUUUGGGCAUGAGAAAGCUGUCCGCGCGUUGGGUGCCGCGUUUGCUUACGCUAGACCACAAACGUGCGCGCAUGAACAUUUCCAGCGCUCUGUUGGCUCAGUUUGGAGGCAAUAAGACCGAGUUUUGGCGCCGAUUGAUAACUGUAGACGAAACUUGGAUUCAUCAUUAUACGCCCGAAACAAAAAACCAAGCCCCAAAAAAAAACCUAAAGCUGUGUAUUCGGCUGGGAAAGUGAUGGCGAGUGUUUUUUGGGACAGCCACGAAUUGCGGUUCGAACUGCUUGACCAUCCACCUUAUUCACCGGAUCUAGCACCAAGCGACUUUUUUUUGUUUCCUCAACUUAAAACUGCGCUCGGCGGCCAGAGAUUUUCGUCAAAUGAGGAGGCAAUCUCUUUCGUGAACUCUUAUUUUGCAGACAAAGACGCCAAGUACUAUUUGGAAGGGUUGCAGAGAUGGAAGCAUCGCUGGGAGAAGUGUGUGGAGUUACAAGGAGACUAUGUAGAAAAAUAAAAAAAAAAAUUUUGAAAAAGUC